AACGCGAAGAACCUUACCUACUCUUGACAUCCUCGGAAUCCCCUGGAAACAGGGGAGUGCCUUCGGGAGCCGAGUGACAGGUGCUGCAUGGCUGUCGUCAGCUCGUGUCGUGAGAUGUUGGGUUAAGUCCCGUAACGAGCGCAACCCUCGUCCUUAGUUGCCAGCACGUAAUGGUGGGAACUCUAAGGAGACUGCCGGUGAUAAACCGGAGGAAGGUGGGGAUGAUGUCAAGUCAUCAUGGCCCUUACGAGUAGGGCUACACACGUGCUACAAUGGGCAGUACAAAGGGUUGCCAAGCCGCAAGGUGGAGCUAAUCCCAAAAAGCUGCUCGUAGUCCAGAUUGGAGUCUGCAACUCGACUCCAUGAAGUUGGAAUCGCUAGUAAUCGCGAAUCAGAAUGUCGCGGUGAAUACGUUCCCGGGCCUUGUACACACCGAUAGC
rnacentral:rRNA from 1 species